ACGGAAGGCAGCAGUGGGGAAUAUUGCACAAUGGGGGAAACCCUGAUGCAGCGAUGCCGCGUGGAGGAAGAAGGUUUUCGGAUUGUAAACUCCUGUCUUAAAGGACGAUAAUGACGGUACUUUAGGAGGAAGCUCCGGCUAACUACGUGCCAGCAGCCGCGGUAAUACGUAGGGAGCGAGCGUUGUCCGGAAUUACUGGGUGUAAAGGGAGCGUAGGCGGGAUGGUAAGUCAGAUGUGAAAUGCAGGAGCUCAACUCCUGAGCUGCAUUUGAAACUGCUGUUCUUGAGUGAAGUAGAGGUAAGCGGAACUCCUGGUGUAGCGGUGAAAUGCGUAGAUAUCAGGAGGAACACCGGUGGCGAGGGCGGCUUACUGGGCUUUUACUGACGCUGAGGCUCGAAAGCGUGGGUAGCAAACAGGAUUGAUACCCUGGUA
rnacentral:rRNA from 1 species